rnacentral:rRNA from 1 species
CCUACGGGUGGCAGCAGUAGGGAAUUUUGCGCAAUGGGCGAAAGCCUGAUGCAGCAACGCCGCGUGAUCGAGACGGGCUUUGGGGUGUAAAGACUUGUUUGUGGGGGCGAAAAUUGACGGUACCUACUGAGGAAGCACCGGCUAACUCCGUGCCAGCAGCCGCGGUAAUACGGCGGGUGCAAGCGUUGUCCGGAUUCAUUGGGCGUAAAGAGUUCGUAGGCGGCACGACAAGUCUGGUGUUAAAGGCAGGGGCUUAACUUCUGUACGGCAGUGGAUACUUGCGAGCUAGAGUGCGGUAGAGGUAAGGGGAAUGCCUGGUGUAGCGGUGAAAUGCUUAGAUAUCAGGAGGAACAUCGGUGGCGAAGGCGGUUUACUGGACCGUAAUUGACGCUGAGGAACGAAAGCGAGGGUAGCAAACAGGAUUAGAUACCCGUGUAGUC